UUUAUAUCUUUUACAUGUUCUUUAAUUUGGGAUUAACAGCUUACCUCAUCGGGAACAUGACUAACCUCGUAGUUCACUGGACAAGCCGGACCCGUAAUUUUAGGAUACAGUUAGAGCCGCUUCGGAAUUUGCGACACGAAAUCAGUUGCCACCCCACAUUCAAGAUCAAAUGUUGUCACACACAUGUUUACGCUUCAACACAGAAGGACUGAAGCAACAAGAGACCCUAAUAGUUUACCGAAAGCCAUUCGGGUCGAGCAUCGCACAGCAUCUCUUCCUCCACAUUGUGCAAAAGCCUAUCUCUUCCAAGGAGUUUCUCAUGACCUCCUAUCUCAGUUGGUUUCGGAAAUGGAUGCGGAGUAUUUCCCACCCAAAGAAGAUGUCAUUCGCAGAACGAAGCCCCAACGGA